ensembl:ncRNA K09A9.11 ncRNA
AGAAACGCCGAUGUUGUUGUGGCGACACAAAGAGCAUUUUGGUUUUGAAGGCACAUUAGUCAAGAAAGAAGCUCGUCGAAAUGACUGCUUUUCCAAUCAGGUCAACCGCCCCCAAGUUUUGGUUUGCACAGAGUUGGGGAAAAAGU